GUUCUGUUUGAUGAGUGCUCCACCUGAGGGCAGAGGUGACAGGAGCCUGGGGAAGGUACCGUCUUUCCUGCUGUCCUGAAAUGAUGCCUGCAAAGAGAAUAAAAUGAAACAUAAACACCCAUUGACCUGUUGAGGUGUUGCAGAAGAACUCCUGGGCAAAGCAGCAAGAUACAUUCUCUACUUUCUGAUGAUCUCCAACUUGAUGUUCUACUGUGAGAACUUGUCGACAAUGAACUGAAGGUCCAUUGUCCACAAAAAAACACUGCAAUUUUGGAGGAUAUUUGAAUAAUAAUCGUGUCCUGCCCCCCAAAGAUCCUCAGAUGAUCACUUGCAGAAGCCUCACACCGAGGACCCACUGGUUUCUUUAUGUUUAACAGGUCGGGUUCAGAGCGUCCACAUGAUCGACUGCCAGUCCUUAGGUCAAACUUAGAAGGACCACACAGCAGGUAAUAAAGAACUUUACAUAACAUAUGGCCGUGUGCUGAGGGCAAAACAUUCUUAAUAAGAUUAACCACUGACUUUAUAAAAGGCGUCGCAAUGGUUGACAAGUGGGUUUAUUGUGGUGGCAAAUGUAUUCUGGGCUCACCUGCAUUAACCUCUGAGCUUAGUGAAUCUCUGAUGUGUGCAGCUCUGCAUCUGCUGUACAGACAACACUGCAGCGCCAUCGAUGAAAGCAUCAUGGCCGCCUGCUUCCUUUAGUGAGCCUCAGUCAAUCCCUCCAAUGUAAAGUGCUUCCUACAGCUGACUGAAAGAGUGACGACACAACAAUCAAUUCUCACCUGCUAAUCCUUUUUAACCAACAAGUCGAUGCAUGCAGGAACAAAAAUCCCUGUGCGAGCAGCUCAUUUUGGUUUAUUUUUGGAUGAGAGGUUCACAAAGGCAUUAUUUUCUUUUAAAGUCAGGCACCAUGAGGGGCAAAAAUGAUUUAAAAUAACUGAAAAUAAUCACACUAAAAUCAUCAUGAAGUCAUUUUUCUGAAUGAAAACAGAAUGUAACUGACAAAAUUAAUGUAACUAAAGUAAAGCAAAAAUAUUAAAUAUGAAUUAUUAUUCUGAUACACAU